CGGACGGGUGAGUAAUGUCUGGGAAACUGCCUGAUGGAGGGGGAUAACUACUGGAAACGGUAGCUAAUACCGCAUAACGUCGCAAGACCAAAGAGGGGGGACCUUAGGGCCUCUUGCCAUCGGAUGUGCCCAGAUGGGAUUAGCUAGUAGGUGGGGUAACGGCUCACCUAGGCGACGAUCCCUAGCUGGUCUGAGAGGAUGACCAGCCACACUGGAACUGAGACACGGUCCAG
rnacentral:rRNA from 1 species